rnacentral:rRNA from 1 species
AUUGAACGCUUGCGGAAUGCUUUACACAUGCAAGUCGAACGGCAGCAUAGGUGCUUGCACCUGAUGGCGAGUGGCGAACGGGGGAGUAAUACAUCGGAACGUGCCCAGUCGUGGGGGAUAACGUAGCGAAAGUUACGCUACUACCGCAUAACCUCUACGGAUGAAAGCGGGGGACCGUAAGGCCCCGCGCGAUUGGAGCGGCCGAGGUCAGAUUAGGUAGUUGAUGGGGUAAAGGCCCACCAAGCCAACAAUCUGUAGCUGGUCUGAGAGGACGACCAGCCGCACAGGGACUGAGACACGGCCCAGACUCCUACGGGAGGAAGCAGUGGGGAAUUUUGGACAAUGGGCGCAAGCCUGAUCCAGCCAUUCCGCGUGCAGGAUGAAGGCCUUCGGGUUGUAAACUGCUUUUGUACGGAACGAAAAGCUCUGGGUUAAUACCCCGGGGUCAUGACGGUACCGUAAGAAUAAGCACCGGCUAACUACGUGCCAGCCGCCGCCGUAA